rnacentral:lncRNA from 10 species
GCACAACUGUCCCUGGCCACCAAGGAGAGCCAAGCACAGGAUUGUUCCCCAGGCAGGUGUAAGUUUCGUGUGGUGGCAUCUGGGUCAGAGUGCAAUCUGUCUGCUGGGAACAUGGUCUUGUUUGAGCAACCUUCUUGCUUCCCUGCCUUCUUUACACAUCUAUUGAGCACCUACUGUGGGCCCUUCCUCCCAGAGGUGCUAGGGGAGACAGUAGAGGUGAUGAGGUCACUGUCCUGGCUCUUGGGGUUCCACAGAUGGGUGGGGGAGAAAGCCCAGAUGUGACCAAUCACACUCAAGGUAUCAAGUGCUGCGAGAGCUGUGGGGGUGUCCACAGAGGCCUCUCUGGGAGUAGGGGUGUCCCAGCCGUUGGGCACAGAAGAGGGGUCUGGCAUCUGCAGACUGCAUUGUGACCAGGGAUGAAACUGGAGCACAGGGGCCUGUGGGGGUGGGGUGGGCUGGGUGGUGAGGAGCCUCGAAAGCCAGAGCGAGAGCACCCUGGGACCUAGCCCUGGGGAGCCAGGAAGUGACAGGAGAGGACCUGCUUCAGGUACGUGUCUCCAGCAGAAGAGACAGGUGAACGGAAGGACACACAGAUGGACAGAGAGCAGGAAAGGGUCCAGGGAAACAGGGAAGAGGAAAAAGGCGUUUCGGCAGCACUUGGACGCGGUCACUGUGGUCAUUGCCGCACCUUGGCUGCAGGGGGCUGCUUGCCUGGGCCCACAAGACCAGACCAACAGAAAGUGCCUCUGCCCAG